AUUAAAAAACAAAACUAAAUAAAUUUUAAAAACAGAUUUUUGUUGAUUUUAAAAAUUUUAAAAACACUUUUUCUCAGUUUCUCGGUUGGCUUCUCUCUAGCUUAUUUUCUCAGAAGCUUUCUCUUCCAUGGCUUCAACUACUCUCCACAUAUUUGAAAAUGUAAAAGGAGAAUAUUAUAUGAUGACAGUAGCUUGAGGAAGAAUUUUUGUUGUUACAGAAUUGUGUAGGAGUUAUAGAUGGGAUCCAUAUUUCUGCUCAUGUCUCUAUUGAUGAAUAAAUACCAUAUCGAAGUCGGAAGGUGGAUACAAUUCAAAACGUCAUGUGUAUAUGUUCAUUUGACAUGAAGUUCCCAUAUGUUGUUGCUGGAUGGGAAGGAUCGACUAAUGAUGCACGAAUUCUUUCAGAAUGUGCCACAAACCCAGAUUAUGAAUUCCCAGCUCCACCCCAUGUGUUGAGUUUAGCAUUUCAAGAGAUCAAAUUCAUGAAAUGGCUAAUGUUCGUGAUGAAUUACUGAUCAUAUAUGGAAAGCAAAUCGUCGAUGAAGAUAAUUAAUGAGUGAAGCUUAUUAACAAUUAGAACUUUUUUAAUAUUUUUCGUCAAGAUUGAACAAUUAUUAGUUCAUAUUUUAUUACGACUUUGUCAGUUUUGUGUUAUAGAUAAUGAAUUUCGUGAUUUUAAAUUACUUAAUUUUUUUUAAGA